rnacentral:rRNA from 1 species
AACGAACGCUGGCGGCAUGCCUAACACAUGCAAGUCGAACGAGACCUUCGGGUCUAGUGGCGCACGGGUGCGUAACGCGUGGGAACCUGCCCUUAGGUUCGGAAUAACUCCCCGAAAGGGGUGCUAAUACCGGAUAAUGUCUUCGGACCAAAGAUUUAUCGCCUUUGGAUGGGCCCGCGUUGGAUUAGCUAGUUGGUAGGGUAAAAGCCUACCAAGGCGACGAUCCAUAGCUGGUCUGAGAGGAUGAUCAGCCACACUGGGACUGAGACACGGCCCAGACUCCUACGGGAGGCAGCAGUGGGGAAUAUUGGACAAUGGGCGAAAGCCUGAUCCAGCAAUGCCGCGAGAGUGAUGAAGGCCUUAGGGCUGUAAAGCUCUUUUACCCGGGAUGAUAAUGACAGUACCGGGAGAAUAAGCUCCGGCUAACUCCGUG